GUUGUCGUGGCCAAGUGGUUAAGGCGAUAGACUAGAAAUCUAUUGGGAUCUUCCUGCGCAGGUAUGAAUCCUGCCGAUGUCG
rnacentral:tRNA from 1 species